rnacentral:rRNA from 2 species
GCUUGCUCUCGGGUGACGAGCGGCGGACGGGUGAGUAAUGUGUGGGAAACUGCCUGAUGGGGGGGGAUAACUACUGGAAACGGUAGCUAAUACCGCAUAACGUCGCGAGAGCCAAGAGGGGGACCUUCUGGCCUCUUGCCAUCAGAUGUGCCCAGAUGGGAUUAGCUAGUAGGUGGGGUAACGGCUCACCUAUGCGACAAUCCCUAUCUGGGCUGAGAGGAUGACCAGCCACACUGGAACUGAGACACGGUCCAGACUCCUACGGGAGGCAGCAGUGGGGAAUAUUGCGCAAUGGGCGCAAGCCUGAUGCACCCAUGCCCCGUGUAUGAAAAAAGCCUUCUGGUUGUAAAGUACUUUCUCCGGGGAGGAAGGCGAUAAGGUUAAUAACCUUGUCGAUUGACGUUACCCGCAGAARAAGCACCGGCUAACUCCGUGCCAGCAGCCGCGGUAAUACAGAGGGUGCAAGCGUUAAUCUCAAUUACUGGGCGUAAAGCGCACGCAGGCGGUCUGUCAAGUCGGAUGUGAAAUCCCCGGGCUCAACCUGGGAACUGCAUUCGAAACUGGCAGGCUAGAGUCUUGUAGAGGGGGGUAGAAUUCCAGGUGUAGCGGUGAAAUGCGUAGAGAUCUGGAGGAAUACCGGUGGCGAAGGCGGCCCCCUGGACAAAGACUGACGCUCAGGUGCGAAAGCGUGGGGAGCAAACAGGAUU